rnacentral:rRNA from 1 species
GAUGAACGCUGGCGGCAUGCCUUACACAUGCAAGUCGAACGGCAGCACGGGAGCAAUCCUGGUGGCGAGUGGCGAACGGGUGAGUAAAGUAUCGGAACGUGCCCAGUCGUGGGGGAUAACGUAGCGAAAGUUACGCUAAUACCGCAUACGAUCUAUGGAUGAAAGCGGGGGAUCGCAAGACCUCGCGCGAUUGGAGCGGCCGAUAUCAGAUUAGGUAGUUGGUGGGGUAAAGGCUCACCAAGCCGACGAUCUGUAGCUGGUCUGAGAGGACGACCAGCCACACUGGGACUGAGACACGGCCCAGACUCCUACGGGAGGCAGCAGUGGGGAAUUUUGGACAAUGGGCGAAAGCCUGAUCCAGCCAUGCCGCGUGCAGGAUGAAGGCCUUCGGGUUGUAAACUGCUUUUGUACGGAACGAAAAGGUUUGGCCUAAUAAGCUGAGCUCAUGACGGUACCGUAAGAAUAAGCACCGGCUAACUACGUGCCAGCCGCCGCGGUAA